UUAUAUUCUCCGUUGGGGGGGAUGAGAACCCCGACCGGGGUUCGACAACUGGCGCAGCCAGUUGGACAGAGCGCGCACGCAGUAAGCGGACUGCCCCGCAGGGGCGAGCGAAGCGAGUCAAUCCCCCCCUCACCGCCA
rnacentral:sRNA from 1 species